rnacentral:piRNA from 1 species
CACAACAACCAACAGUGGCCAUCCAACA